rnacentral:rRNA from 1 species
UACGUAGGGGGCAAGCGUUGUCCGGAUUUAUUGGGCGUAAAGAGCGUGUAGGCGGCCAGACAGGUCAGCUGUGAAAACUCGAGGCUCAACCUCGAGACGUCGGUUGAAACCGUCUGGCUAGAGUCCGGAAAGAGGAGAGUGGAAUUCCCCGGUGUAGCGGUGAAAUGCGCAGAUAUCGGGGAAGAACACCCGUGGCGAAGGCGGCUCUCUGGGACGGUACUGACGCUGAGACGCGAAAGCGUGGGGAGCGAACAGG